rnacentral:rRNA from 1 species
GUAGGUGGCAAGCGUUGUCCGGAAUUAUUGGGCGUAAAGCGCGCGCAGGCGGUUCUUUAAGUCUGAUGUGAAAGCCCACGGCUCAACCGUGGAGGGUCAUUGGAAACUGGAGAACUUGAGUACAGAAGAGGAAAGCGGAAUUCCACGUGUAGCGGUGAAAUGCGUAGAGAUGAGGAGGAACACCAGUGGCGAAGGCGGCUUUCUGGUCUGUAACUGACGCUGAGGCGCGAAAGCGUGGGGAGCAAACAGGGAUUAGAUACCCUGGUAGUCCACGCCGUAAACGAUGAGUGCUAAGUGUUAGGGGGGUUUCCGCCCCCUUAGUGCUGCAGCUAACGCAUUAAGCACUCCGCCUGGGGAGUACGGCCGCAAGGCUG